CUGAGAUGCUGUUAAAGAUUAAAUUCCCCCUCCACCCUCUCCCAAGCUGCGAUGGGGUCAUGCAGCAGGCAGGAGGGAAAUGAAGCGUUUUCUGGGCUUUUAGAGCCAUGGGGAAGGGGCUCAGCCUGGGGAGGGCUUGUGUCAGUUCUUGGUGGCUCCCGCUGCUUCUCGGGGCGUGGGGCUGGCAUGGAUCCUGCAGCUCCCUCCCCUCCUCCAUCCCGCUGCGUUGGGAAGCAGGUCACGUCCAGCUCCCGGCACGGCAGCGAUGCCGGGGGAGCUCAUCUUUCUGGGGCAGCUCCGGGAUGCUGGGAGCAGCCAGCUGCCGCUUCCAGCGCUUUUGGGGACUGUGGGAGGAGGAUUUCCAGCGCUGCGGGGCUACGUGGCGCUGCCAUCCCGGGGAUUUGGCAGUGGGGAGCUCAGCCCCCGCUCGCCUUCAGCUCGUCCCGAUGGGCGCCGGGGCUCUUUGCUGCUCCGGCAGGAGCAUGGCCAAGCUCCCCCAAAACAAGCUCAGUGCUCCAGGAGUCGCUCCCCUCUCUCGGGGCUGUGCAGCGCCAGGAUCCGGCCUUUCCCUGUGGAACGCCCGGCUCCCAGGGCAGGUGUGGUGCUGCUGGAGGCAGAGACGCUGUCUCUACCUGCCUCCAUCCGGAUCAGCGCCGGGGGGAGAGCGGGGGGAACUUUCCCGACUCGUUUCCCCACCUUAAGGGGAAAAAAAAAAAGAAAAAAGAGAAGGAGUCGCAUGACUUGGAGCUUCCCGAGAGGCAGCGCGGGGAGAGAGUGACCCAGGGAGCCAAGAAUCUGCUCCGCUGUCGUGUCUCAUUCCUGCUCUGCGGCGCGGGGCUGGGAGAGGUUGGGUUACGGGAGGCGCGGAAAGGGGACGGUGCAGGAUGAGCUCAUGCGAGGGCGCAGGAACCUUCUGGGCAGGAAAAAAAAAAAAAUGUUGAUGCUGCAGUUCAGGGAUUUCUGCAAUCGAGGCUGUUCCCGCAGAUCCCGGCUCGUUCCGCCGGGCCGCCCCUCGUGCUGAUGGCAAUAAAAUCACUCGGGGAGGGCUGUGGGCUCA
rnacentral:lncRNA from 1 species